AAUUGAUCCUGAACCAUACUAGAAAAUAUGAAGUUGACUUGAAAAUUAGAAAUUGAAGAAAAUAUUUCAAUUACUGUAAUAACAAAUGUUUUUAACCUGAUAUUUGAUUUCAAUAUGUAUACAAUGUUUAUAGUUGGUAGUAAUUGGUAGGUUCCCAAUAGCAAUGAGCAAAUUUUGUUUAAAACAAAAUUUUGCAUAAUUGAGCCAAAGGUAGCAUAGAAUAACCAUAGCAACCUUGCAUGUUUUAGAAAAAAAAUUGACAAAUGUUUGUUUAUAUUUGCUCUUUUUUAUUUAUUUGAUGGAUGUCAAAGUAAGACUGAUUGAGCCAAAAUAAGAUGGGUUUUGUUUGAAAUCAGUGCUCUAAUUACAUGUAUCUUUCUAAUUGUUUUUUUUUUAAAUAUAGUAACAUAUAUAAACUGAAUAUUUGCAAAUGUUAUACAUGUGUAUUUAUGAUUACUAAGCAUAUAACUUUAACAUACAAUUAAUACCUUAGUAAAGUUAUAGAUUAGGCAAAAUUGAUAUCUAGUUGCAAGCUCAGAAUUUAGACUAUUGCUAGGUGAUUUAAUUUUUGUGAAAGGAAGCAUCGCUUUUUUCCCCUUUCUAGAGCUUGUAGCAAUAAAAUAUUUAUUUUCUUACACUGUAAAAAUAUUGUGUAUGUAAAGGCGCUUGAAUGUCAACCUAAGUGUCUGAGAACUGUAAAGUCCUGUAAUUAACAAGAAUAUAUAUGUAAAUCAAAAUUAAAAUGAGGAUAUGACAGAAUGGCUUGGUAAAAGAUACAUUUUAAACUUUUUUACAGUUAUUUUGAAUACAUCAAUAAUCAGACUAGAGCUUUAAUAUUUAUUAUAUAAUGUUUCUGUUGCAUUUUUGCUUGUUGUAUAAACUUGAUAUACAUAUGUAUAUAUGAUAACACUAUUUAAUAUAAGCACUAGACUAUUAUAAGUUAAAUUCCCUUUUAAUGUAUUUUCAAUGACAGUGAUAAAUAGGAAUUGUAUUUCUAAUU
rnacentral:lncRNA from 1 species